GGAGAAGGAGGACGUUUGAGAUGCCUUUGCUUUGAGACAGUGCCAUAGAAAGAUUUCUUGGCCGGCCUUAGAAAGUAAGCCAGCGGUUGCAAUGCAGAACUUUGCAGUCUUCCCUGGGAUGCAGAUUCCGUUCCAGGUGUGAAAAAGUCCAGCAUGAACUCAGACAGGACACAGACCAGGACCAGAGCCUCAUGUAGACAGAGCUGCUGCAGAAGGAGCAAUGAGCAUGCCUGCACCCUUGAGAGACCUGAGGAGGAUGAAGGAAAAUACGGACAACUUGAAUCCAUGACAGUCUUCAGUCUAGGAUCAAGGCCUCCUCACAAAAGCCAUCUCCUUGUAGCUGAGAACUCAACAGAAUUAGUGGCAGUGUCACAGGUCAGCCCUCUGAACCCAGAAGAAGGACAUUGGCAUAGGAAGCCCCUCUCCUGAGGUGGUCACACAAGUGGCAAUUCCUUGGCAGGCAUUGGAGAAGCAAGGGUCUUGUCAUUGAUUUGCUAUUUUGGACUGUCUGGAAUCAGUUGCGGCAUCACAGUCCUGUAACACCAGAACUCCCAGGCAGAGAUGGAUGUCUGCAAGUGCCAAGUGGCUUGGUCUACACAAUGAAUCUAUCUCUGCUUUUGACUCCCAUGGGAGAUGACUGAGCUGAAUUUGCGUGCAGUGAUCAAAUGGGCUAUACAGACACUGCUCAUCCAGAAACAUGGCUCCUUGGACAUCAAC
ensembl:lincRNA 4933413J09Rik RIKEN cDNA 4933413J09 gene